ensembl:lncRNA
AAAAGAAACAGCUCUUUUUUUUAGGACUGUAGAACCAGAAGGAAGAGGUUAGGGUUAGGAACCAAAUCAUCAUGGACUGAAGAUCUGAAACUAGUCAGGAGAGUCCACAGUAUCCAGCUGUAAAAUCAGAGGCAGAAGAAUCCACAAUGGAACCUGCACACUAGAGAGCCAGAUGAUCCAGCAACUGUUCAGCCCAAGAAGGUAGAAGCUGCAGAACAAGAGAAAUAAAGGAUGCAGCACCAGUCCAAGGUCUAAGGCUUAGAAGCUCACUGGAGAGCCAUCUGUGUCAGUCUGAAUUGGAAAGCUGAAGAGAGUGGAGACCAAUGUCCAAAGGUGAUGCUGAAGACUGGAGCUCUCCCAAAAUGGAAACACUUCCUCCUUCCUCUUUUUAAUUCCAUCCAGGCUAUAAGCCUGUUGGUUGAUGCCAUCCACAUUUGGGGAAUUUACCAACAUCAGAAAAAGAAUGAAUAUUCAAGGCAGAGGGAAACGAGUGGCACAAGACAGGCACACAUGUGUGCUUACUGGGGGUAUACCAAGGGCCGGCAAAAUAUUGAGGGAGCCAUUGAAGAUAUUCUUGACAUCCACCUUGGAACAAGUACUUUAAGAUGACCAGCAGGUCACUCACUAGGCACUACUCCACAUCUUCAUCGUCAAAUGGUUUUGACCAGUGGGCAUGACCUCCAGUGCUGUCCUUCUUCACUCAUAGUGACAAUGGUUCUAUCUUUACCUUCAGAAGGAGGAGACAGAUAACAGGGCAAUGAUAAGGCUAAUAUCACAUGGCCUGGGCACCAUCCAUCUGCUGCAACAGGCUGAGUCAGAACUGCUCCCCUGAAAAAGCAGGGGCUCUGCAGAAGCCCAGGACCAGUGGGGCAGUUAUAUCCAGUGCUCAGAGGCAAGUGGCAGUGGUGGUGAUAGCAGUGCUGGGGGCCCUGAGUCUGCAGUGCCAGUGUUGGAAGCAGUACCUUUGUGUAUGGGGACAGCAAGCAGUGAUACACCAUUACUGGACCAGUCUGUGCACUACAGUAUUUGAGAUUAAUACCUGGCUACAUGGCCUUAGAAACAGUGCUGGCGAUGGACCCCACUGUUUCAAGCAAACUAAGCAGUCAAACACUGAGCUACACCCUAGGCCUAAUGACACUGACUUGACUCCAUUCUCUUUGUCUCUACUAAAUACAAGUACUUUCAUCCAUGUUUUGGUGGUAGUUCUAUAAGCAACUGAUGAAUCCUUGGUAGUUGGAAAUCAAGAAAUCUAGAAUGCUUCUAAACUUACUCUGACAAUGGAAAUAACCUAUAUCCAUGCUGUUCAAUAUGGCAGCCAGUAAACACUGACCAGUGAUUCAUUUGAUGUGACCAGUAUGACUGAGGAUUAAAUUUUAAAUUUUACUUGAUUUUAAUUAGUCUUAACAGAAAUGAUCACAGGUAUUUAGUGGCCAUAUACAAGUAUGAAACUGCUCAGCUCUAGAGGAAAAAUAAACUCAAGUGAGAGACUCAGGGCUUAUUUAAAUUGUAAUUCCUCUUACCUGGUGAUUUUAUUUCUAGAGUUCUUCACUUCUAAAACCUUAGAAGUUUUACAAUUUGUUUCAUUAAAGGAGACCAUUUAUUGUCAGUCUCUAUAUUAUAUUGCGUAGAGCUUUGGAAUUUAAAUUAGCAAUACCCUUCCACAAAGUGUUCUUUCUUUCACACAUGCCUAUGUGUUCCCUCUUCAUCACAUUGCAUCCUUCACUAUGUGGAAAAAACAUACAGGAAAAAGGGUUAAAAGGAUUGUGUACAAAGACACAAACCAUCCCCAACUUGCAAAAGGCUGCCUUGCAAAGGCUCAUGUGUGAAUUACGCUUUGGAACUUCAGAAAGUUUCUCAUUGACUUAGAAUACUAGAGCAAUCUACUAAAUUCAUUUGACACAAAAUAUAAGAGAAGAUACAUGAGUUACACAAAUAAUCAAAACAAUAAAGUAAUAGUUCUAAUAUAAAUAUAAAACUAAAAUAGAUGUGACAGUUUUUAUUUAGGGUGAGAGGAGGAAAAAGAGGAAUACAGCAUGCAUAGUUUCCUUGAGAACAGGAUACAAAAUGAUGUAGGUGAUGAAGACGCAUGAAUGGAGAAAUCAGCGACCAGCCCUGGAGUAGCUCCUCUCCACUAGCCAGCCUGGGGAAAUACUGUCUGUUCAGUGUGUACAUCACAUGCUGUCUAAGCCAUAAUGUUUCAGUCUGAAGACAUAGUGUGGGCUAUAGAAGAAAUGAGAUGAGCUGAGAGAUCAACAGGCAUUUAUCUGAGAAUGGGCAGUAAAGGAAGCACGGUGAUGGCCCCAGAUGAUCCAGAAAUACUCAGGAUGGCUAUUCAUGGCCUUUGCAACUACAUAAGAAGUCCUAGCUAGUGAGAGUUUUCUUUAACAGGAAAAGCAGCAUGAAGUUCAACUUAAAAAUGUAAGCCUAUAAAUUCAGCAAAAUAAGAUAAAGCUCACAUGGGCUUCUGCAUUGUUGGGCAGAG